rnacentral:lncRNA from 1 species
AGCUUCAGUAAAGAGGUGGGAUGCUUUGUUCGUGUCGAAAGAAGUUCUCUGGAUCAACCUUUGUUUUAAUCUUCACCAACCUAUUGAAAUUGUCUUUGAAGUACUUUGCUCCCCAGACUUGAGCUUGUUUGAGGCUUGUCUUUAAGUUGUUGUUCUGUCCCAGGUCUAGAUCUCUGUAGUUCACAUAUGCUUGUCUUGGAUUGCUUGAGACAUAAGGCGUCAUGUAAUUGUACAACUCCCUGAUCCAUUUGAUACGCAUGUCUGGUCUCUUCUCGGUGUCUGACCAGCUCCUAUAAUACAGAAUCAUGAAGCUGGUUCCGCUUCUAUGCGGAAACGGGAUCUCAGAUUCAGGGAUUUUAUCCAUCAUUCCACCGUAUGGAGUCCAUAUCAUUACUGCAGCUUCUUCUUCAAGAAUCUUCUUGAUCAUCCCUUUAAGACCUAAAACAGGAAUCGGUUCUUUAGCGAAGUCUGAUUUGGCUUUGAAGUAAACUUCUCCAAGAGGUGACUUUGCUUGAAGCAAAACCUCAGGAGGAGGAGGAGUGGUAGUUGAGAAUCCAGAGCUGUACAUGAUGG